rnacentral:lncRNA from 1 species
GUUGCUUGGUAUUUAAGUAACAACUGUCCAACAACUCUCUUUAGGCUUUGAACUGCUGAUUGUUGAUCACAUUCGAUCCAAGGAAUAAGGGUAUAGCAUUUGUCCAUAUGCUUGAAUUCAUGACUGAGUUUUGGUCCUCCAUGAUGCUCCAAGGAUGUGUUAAUGCAUUGAGACAUAGGAACCAAGUUAAGUUCAUGCUGAUCUAUCAAGCCUUUUGUC